UAAAAGUCGUAACAAGGUUUCCGUAGGUGAACCUGCGGAAGGAUCAUUAUCGAGUUUUGAAAGUAAGGCUUGAUGCUGGUGCGGAAACGUACAUGUGCUCAGUCUUGCGCUCAUUCCACUCAACCCCUGUGCACUUAUCGAAGUUAGUAGUCGUUCCUCCUUUUAAGGAGCCGUCCAAGUGUCGCAAGUAUUCUUUAGAGUCUUUAUUAAUAUUGACUUUGAAGGAGAAAGUGUUACUUUGACUAGGAGCGGUGAAACCUUUGACUUAUUAUAAACCUUUACUUGUCUUGUAGAAUGUAAUGCUCCUCGUGGGCGAAAUUAAAUACAACUUUCAACAACGGAUCUCUUGGCUCUCGCAUCGAUGAAGAACGCAGCGAAAUGCGAUAAGUAAUGUGAAUUGCAGAAUUCAGUGAAUCAUCGAAUCUUUGAACGCACCUUGCGCCCUUUGGUAUUCCGAAGGGCAUGCCUGUUUGAGUGUCAUGUUAAUCUCAAUCCCCUUGUUUCUUAAUUGAGGCUUGGAGAUUGGACUUUGGAGGCUUGCUGGUCCCCCUUUGUGGUCGGCUCCUCUUAAAUACAUUAGCUGGACUUUGGUUCGCGUGAAGGUGUAAUAGUUUAUUCGCCAUUAGCGCAUGCCUAACGGGUCUGCUUCUAAUCGUCUUCGGACAAGGAUUAACUUCCUUCUUGACUCUUUGACCUCAAAUCAGGUAGGACUACCCGCUGAACUUAAGCAUAUCAAUAAGCGGAGGA
rnacentral:rRNA from 1 species